rnacentral:rRNA from 1 species
CGUAGGAACCUGUCGCGCAGAGGGGGAUAACGCUGGGAAACCGGGCGCUAAUACCGCAUGCGAUCUUUCUUGUAAUGAGAGAGAGGAAAGCAGCAAUGCGCUGUGUGAGGGGCCUGCGGCCGAUUAGCUAGUUGGUGGGGUAAAGGCCUACCAAGGCGACGAUCGGUAGCUGGUCUGAGAGGAUGGUCAGCCACACUGGGACUGAGACACGGCCCAG